GAUGAACGCUGGCGGCGUGCCUAAUACAUGCAAGUCGAGCGAACAUACCAGGAGCUUGCUCCUCUGACGUUAUCGGCGGACGGGUGAUUAACACGUGGAUAACCUACCUAUAAGACUGUGAUAACUUCGGGAAACCGGAGCUAAUACCGAAUAAUAUAUUGAAUCUCAUGGUUCAAUAGUGAAAGUCGGUUUUUCUUUCACUUAUAGAUUGAUCCGCGCCGCGUUAGCUAGUUGGUAAGGUAACGGCUUACCAAGGCGACGAUGCGUAGCCGACCCGAGAGGGAGAUCGGCCAGCCGGGAACUGAGAAUGAUCAGAGACUCCUACGCGAGGAAGCAGUAGGAAAUCCUACGGAAUGGGGGAAAGCCUAACGGAGCAAAGUCGGGUAAGUGAUGAAGCUCUCAUGAUCGGAAAACGCUGUUAUUAGGGAAGAACAAAUGUGUAAGUACCUAUGAACGUAUUGACGGUACCUAAUCAGAAAGCCACGGCUAACUACGUG
rnacentral:rRNA from 1 species